rnacentral:tRNA from 1 species
GUCGCUUUAGCUCACUUGGGAGAGCGCCAGACUGAAGUCAUCAGUCAUAAAAUCUGGAGGUACUGUGUUCGAUCCACAGAAGCGACA